rnacentral:rRNA from 1 species
AUUGAACGCUGGCGGCAUGCUUUACACAUGCAAGUCGAACGGCAGCACGGGCUUCGGCCUGGUGGCGAGUGGCGAACGGGUGAGUAAUGCAUCGGAACGUGCCCAUGUUGUGGGGGAUAACUACGCGAAAGCGUGGCUAAUACCGCAUACGCCCUGAGGGGGAAAGCGGGGGAUUCUUCGGAACCUCGCGCAAUUGGAGCGGCCGAUGUCAGAUUAGCUUGUUGGUGAGGUAAAGGCUCACCAAGGCGACGAUCUGUAGCGGGUCUGAGAGGAUGAUCCGCCACACUGGGACUGAGACACGGCCCAGACUCCUACGGGAGGCAGCAGUGGGGAAUUUUGGACAAUGGGGGCAACCCUGAUCCAGCCAUGCCGCGUGAGUGAAGAAGGCCUUCGGGUUGUAAAGCUCUGUCCUUGGGGAAGAAGGUCUUCGGACUUGACGGUACCCAAGAAGAAAGCCCCGGCUAACUACGUG